AACUUGAGAGUUUGAUCCUGGCUCAGAACGAACGCUGGCGGCAGGCUUAACACAUGCAAGUCGAGCGCCCCGCAAGGGGAGCGGCAGACGGGUGAGUAACGCGUGGGAAUCUACCCAUCUCUACGGAACAACUC
rnacentral:rRNA from 1 species